rnacentral:rRNA from 1 species
ACAUGCAAGUCGAACGGUAACAGGAAGCAGCUUGCUGCUUGCUGACGAGUGGCGGACGGGUGAGUAAUGUCUGGGAAACUGCCCGAUGGAGGGGGAUAACUACUGGAAACGGUAGCUAAUACCGCAUAAUGUCGCAAGACCAAAGAGGGGGACCUUCGGGCCUCUUGCCAUCGGAUGUGCCCAGAUGGGAUUAGCUUGUUGGUGAGGUAACGGCUCACCAAGGCGACGAUCCCUAGCUGGUCUGAGAGGAUGACCAGCCACACUGGAACUGAGACACGGUCCAGACUCCUACGGGAGGCAGCAGUGGGGAAUAUUGCACAAUGGGCGCAAGCCUGAUGCAGCCAAUGCCGCGUGUAUGAAGAAGGCCUUCGGGUUGUAAAGUACUUUCAGCGGGGAGGAAGGGGUUAAGGUUAAUAACCUUAGCCAUUGACGUUACCCGCAGAGGAAGCACCGGCUAACUCCGUGCCAGCCGCCGC